UCAGGGCUUGUCUACAUCAGAAAGUUGCAGCGCUGGUGAGGGAGUUACAGCGCUGCAACUUUGAAGGUGUACACAUCUGCAGGGCACCACCAGCGCUGCAACUCCCUGUUUGCAGCGCUGGCCGUACUCCCGUUUUGUCUCGGGUGUAGAGGAUCCAGCGCUGGUGAUCCAGCGCUGGUAAUCCAAUGUAGACACUUACCAGCGCUUUUCUUGACCUCCGUGGAAGGAGGAAGCCUCUGGUAAUCAAGCUGGUCUCCUUUCCCGGUUUGCUCUCUCGUUCCCGGAGCCCCGAGCAAGCAGGUCUCCUUCCCUGCGGUUUGCUGGGUGGCUCCGGGAACGAGAGAGCAAACCGCGGCGAAGCGGGUCUCCUUUCCCGGUUUGCUCUCUCGUUCCCGGAGCCCCGAGCAAGCAGGUCUCCUUCCCUGCGGUUUGCUGGGUGGCUCCGGGAACGCGAGAGCAAACCGCGGCGAAGCGGGUCUCCUUUCCCGGUUUGCUCUCUCGUUCCCGG